rnacentral:rRNA from 1 species
GGUUUGAUUCUGGCUCAGAUUGAACGCUGGCGGGAUGCUUUACACAUGCAAGUCGAACGGCAGCACGGACUUCGGUCUGGUGGCGAGUGGCGAACAGGUGAGGUAAUGUAUCGGAACGUGCCUAGUAGCAGGGGGAUAACUACGCGAAAGCGUAACUAAUACCGCAUACGCCCUUCGAGGAAAGCGGGGGGACCUUCCGGGCCUCACUUACUAUUAAAACAGCGAUAUCGGAUUAGCUAGUUGGUGGGGUAACGGCUCACCAAGGCGACGAUCCGUAGCUGGUUUGAAGGGACGACCAGCCACACUGGACGAGACACGGCCCAGACUCCUGCAGGAGAGCAGCAGUGGGGAAUUUUGGACAAUGGGGGAAACCUGAUCCAGCCAUCCCGCGUGUGCGAUGAAGGCCUUCGGGUUGUAAACACUUUUGGCAGGAAAGAAACGGCACGGGAUAAUACCCCGUGCAGCGGCGUGACACCUGCAGUCAGCACCGGCUAACUACGUGCCAGCAGCCGCGGUAAUACGUAGGUGCAAGCGUUGAUAGAUUGCUGGGCCAAACGUGCGCAGAGCGGUUCGGAAAGAAAGAUGUGAAAUCCCAGAGCCCAACUUUGGAACUGCAUUUUUAACUGCCGAGCUAGAGUGUAUAGAGGAGGUGGAAUUCCGCGUGUAACAGUGAAAUGUAGGUAUUGCGGAGGGCUGCCAUUGGCAACAGCCACUCUCCAGGGUAACACUGACAUCAUGCGGCAUUAAGGAACAACAGGAUUAGUCCUGGUGAGUCCGCCUAAACUUGAUGUCAACUAGCUGUUGUUGGGGCCUUCGGGCCUUGGUAGCGCAGCUAACGCGUGAAGUUGACCGCCUGGGGAGUACGGUCGCAAGAUUAAAAACUCAAAGGAAUUAGGCGGGGACCCGCACAAGCGGUGGAUGAUGUGGAUUAAUUCGAUGCAACGCGAAAAAACCAUACCUACCUGCCAGCAUGUCACCGGAAUCCGAAGAGAUUUGGGGUGCUCGCAAGAGAACCGGAACACAGGUGCUGCAUAGCUGUCGUCAGCUCGUAUUAGUGAGAUGUUGGGUUAAGUCCCGCAGCAAGCGCAGCCAUGAUAAUUAGUUGCACCACGAAAGGGCACUCCUAAUGAGACUGCCAGUGACAAACCGGAGGAAGGUGGGGAUGACGUGGGGUCCUCAUGGCCCUUAUGGGUAGGGCUUCACCACGUCUUACAAUGGUCGGGACAGAGGUCGCCAACCCGCGAGGGAGAGCCAAUCCCAGAAACCCGAUCGUAGUCCGGGAUCGCAGUCUGCAACUCGGCUGCGUGAAGUCGGAAUCGCUAGUAAUCGCGGAUCAGCAUGUCGCGGUGAAUACGUUCCCGGGUCUUGUACACACCGCCCGUCACACCAUGGGAGUGGGUUUUUACCAGAAGUAGUUAGCCUAACCGUAAGGAGGAGGCGGUCACCACGAUAGGAUUCAGCGACUAGGGUGAAGUCGCUAAAGGUAA